rnacentral:rRNA from 1 species
AGUUACCAGCACGUUAUGGUGGGCAACUCUAAGGAGACUGCCGGUGACAAACCGGAGGAAGGUGGGAUGACGUCAAGUCAUCAGUGGCCCUUACGGCCUGGGCUACACACGUGCUACAAUGGUCGGUACAAAGGGUUGCCAAGCCGCGAGGUGGAGCUAAUCCCAUAAAACCGAUCGUAGUCCGGAUCGCAGUCUGCAACUCGACUGCGUGAAGUCGGAAUCGCUAGUAAUCGUGAAUCAGAAUGUCACGGUGAAUACGUUCCCGGGCCUU